GACGAACGCUGGCGGCGUGCUUAACACAUGCAAGUCGAACGAUGAAGCCGGAGCUUGCUCUGGUGAAUUAGUGGCGAACGGGUGAGUAACACGUGAGUAACCUGCCCUUGACUCUGGGAUAACUGCUAGAAAUGGUAGCUAAUACCGGAUACGACCCUCGGAGGCAUCUCCAGGGGGUGGAAAGAAUUUCGGUCAAGGAUGGACUCGCGGCCUAUCAGCUAGUUGGUGAGGUAACGGCGCACCAAGGCGCCGACGGGUAGCCGGCCUGCGAGGGUGACCGGCCACACUGGACUGAGACACGGCCCAGACUCCUAGGGGAGGCAGCAGUGGGGAAUAUUGCACAAUGGGCGCAAGCCUGAUGCAGCAACGCCGCGUGAGGGAUGACGGCCUUCGGGUUGUAAACCUCUUUUAGUAGGGAAGAAGCGAAAGUGACGGUACCUGCAGAAAAAGCACCGGCUAACUACGUGCCAGCCGCCGCCGUAA
rnacentral:rRNA from 1 species